UACGGAGGGUGCAAGCGUUAUCCGGAUUCACUGGGCUUAAAGGGCGCGCAGGCGGCUUUGUAAGUCAGUGGUGAAAGGCUUAAGCUUAACUUGGGAACUGCCAUUGAUACUAUAAGUCUUGAAUGUUGUUGAGGUUUGCGGAAUGGGUCAUGUAGCGGUGAAAUGCAUAGAUAUGACCCGGAACACCUAUUGCGAAGGCAGCAGGCUAAACAAAUAUUGACGCUGAGGCUCGAAAGCGUGGGGAUCAAACAGG
rnacentral:rRNA from 1 species